rnacentral:pre_miRNA from 1 species
UGUGAAAAUUUAUAUCCAUUUAUACUAUUAAAAACUAUUCAAUUACGUGUACCUCAUGCUAACGUACAGUGACCAAUUUUUAACCGUAGAAAUGGAUGCAAAUUUUAAUA